UCCCUCCCUUCCUCCUGCGCAGCCAGCCCCCAAUCUCUCUCCCACGCAACUCCUUGUGACUCCACGGCGCCGCCGCCCGAUUCAGGCGACUUCUGUCAGCUAUGGCCGGCGCCCAGCACACCCCCAUCUUCCCCUCGCUCCGCUCUUUCCUCCCCUCCGGUUAGAUUCACUACGCCCGGCCACCAACGCUCGCUCUCAACCCAUAUUCUUAGCUAGGGUUUCGUCGCCGGCGUGGCUCCGGCGGAUUCUCUCCAUCCCCUGCCACCUGCUGGAUGGUGCUCCUGGAACAGGGCCGCGCGGAGGCCCUCCUGCCGUAGGAUGUGCUGACGCGGCGCGCCUGCAGCGGCUGUUCGGGAUGAGCGCGGGCGCGACAGCCUUGUCCCGGUCGAUGAUGGCGGCGGUGCUCCUUCUCAUCCUCUACCUCCAAGGACACGCACCAGUACAGCUCAGGCACCCCCGUCCCCAAAUCCCGUCCACCCAUCCGGCGUUGUCUAACUCAUCCUCAGGCUCGUGGAUUCGCCUCCUCCUGUACGCGACACUUGAAACGUGGACGUGGAACUUUGCUCCCAUCUAAUCUGUUUGGGCUGUGUAAAGGGAAGAGAAGGGACGAGAGCAAUGUCUGGUUGGGUUUUGUCAAGGGAAGGGAAGAGGGUAAUGACAUGGAGCAGCUGCAAGGGCUUACUAGGAGAGGAGGGUCGACCCCGAUGCCAUGGAAGGUAAGAUUGGAUAGCGUGCUACUUAGUGCUGCCCAUCACAAUCAGCCAUAGGAUGAUAGUUGCCAUCAAGAGCGUCAACAGCAAGAGCCUGAAUAACAACACCCUCAAUAGUUUAUAUGCUCUGAUGUAAAAUGGAUUGUACUGGUUCAUAACUCUGCUGUGUGAUAUAUGUUCUCAAUAUAUGUUGUAUGUUAUCAUUUUGUAGAGGAUUUUUUAGACUGCUAUGUUUUAGGUACGUACAGAUGGAUGUGAUAAACUUUGUAAUGUUACACACCUUGCAAAUAUUUUUUGUUGGGCCAAAAUUGGCAUUAGGAAUUGUGUAACGCAUUAUGUUAAAAACAUACUGGGUCAAACUUUGGCCAAAAGAAAUGGGCUAAUUGUCUCAACCAAA